AUACGUAGGUGGCAAGCGUUGUCCGGAUUUAUUGGGCGUAAAGCGAGCGCAGGCGGUUUCUUAAGUCUGAUGUGAAAGCCCCCGGCUUAACCGGGGAGGGUCAUUGGAAACUGGGAGACUUGAGUGCAGAAGAGGAGAGUGGAAUUCCAUGUGUAGCGGUGAAAUGCGUGGAUAUAUGGAGGAACACCAGUGGCGAAGGCGAGUCUCUGGUCUGAAACGUACGCUGAGGCUCGAAAGCGUGGGGAGCAAACAGGAUUAGAUACCCUGGUAGUCCACGCCGUAAACGAUGAGUGCUAAGUGUUGGAGGGUUUCCGCCCUUCAGUGCUGCAGCUAACGCAUUAAGCACUCCGCCUGGGGAGUACGGCCGCAAGGCUGAAACUCAAAUGAAUUGACGGGG
rnacentral:rRNA from 1 species